GAAGAACCUUACCUACCCUUGACAUGUCCGGAAUUUUCCAGAGAUGGGGGAGUGCUCGAAAGAGAACCGGAACACAGGUGCUGCAUGGCUGUCGUCAGCUCGUGUCGUGAGAUGUUGGGUUAAGUCCCGCAACGAGCGCAACCCUUGUCAUUAAUUGCCAUCAUUUAGUUGGGCACUUUAAUGAGACUGCCGGUGACAAACCGGAGGAAGGUGGGGAUGACGUCAAGUCCUCAUGGCCCUUAUGGGUAGGGCUUCACACGUCAUACAAUGGUCGGUACAGAGGGUUGCCAACCCGCGAGGGGGAGCCAAUCCCAGAAAGCCGAUCGUAGUCCGGAUUGCAGUCUGCAACUCGACUCCAUGGAGUCGGAAUCGGUAGGA
rnacentral:rRNA from 1 species